UGAGUAAGCCGGAUGACCGCGGAUACAAGUACCGAAAGGUAGUAUCUGAGGAAAGUCCGAGCUCCAAAGGGCAAAGUGCUGGAUAACAUCCAGUGGAGGUGACUCCGAGGAUAGUGCCACAGAAACAUACCGCCGAUGGUGAGUUUUUCACACAGGUAAGGGUGGAAUGGUGAGGUAAGAGCUCACCGGCAAUCAGGCGACUGAUUGGCCGGGUAAACCCCACUUGGAGCAAGACCGAAUAGAGGAGCCAUGAAACGGCCCGUUUCGCUCCCGGGUAAGGUCGCUAGAACCGGUGAGUAAUCACCGGUCCAGACAGAUGGUCAUCACCUCAUUUUGAGGUACAGAACUCGGCUUAUAGGCUUACUCAUUAA
rnacentral:RNase_P_RNA from 1 species